rnacentral:rRNA from 1 species
UACGGGGGGGGCAAGCGUUGUUCGGAAUUACUGGGCGUAAAGGGCCAGUAGGCGGCCGGCUAAGUCCGACGUGAAAUCCCCAGCUUAACCUGGGAACUGCGUCGGAUACUGGCUGGCUUGAAUUCGGGAGAGGGAUGCAGAAUUCCAGGUGUAGCGGUGAAAUGCGUAGAUAUCUGGAGGAAUACCGGUGGCGAAGGCGGCAUCCUGGACCGACAUUGACGCUGAGGCACGAAAGCGUGGGGAGCAAACAGG